rnacentral:lncRNA from 15 species
GUGCUCGACCAGAGUUAACGAAACGUUUAAAACACCGGUUCGCUGGUUAACAUAUAUCAGCCAGACAGCUGAAUCUGACUUAACACAACUUCUUUGGAAGUUUGUGGCUAGCGUCCUAGCUCUCGUCCGCUAUACAGCGAGCCAAGAGGACUGUUGUUGUUGACAGCUAACUAACUAACAGCACAUCUCAUUAACCAAAUGGUGUUAAAUAUCACACAAGGUGCACAGAUAGUCACCUUUUCUAAGUGCGUCACGGUGUGACAACUCAGCAGUCCAAAAAAAAAAAAAAAAAAAAAAGAAAGUACGGUGGCUUUGCAUAAGCAGCGGUGCGCAGUGGUCCUAACGUUACUUAUCAGUUUCCUCCCUUCCUUCCUUCCUCCGAGUCAGAACGCUCUCCUGCGAACGUAACAGCCGUUAGUCACGCUAGCGUCUAUGAGGCUACAGUUAGCUAGCUUAGCAACCAGCAAACGGCGAGCUAAUGUCGUCCCCUUCCCGGUCGGCCUUAAUCCACAAAAAACACGCCAACUACGAGACAACCUUGGGAUAACUGUUCCAUGGAUCCGUGUAAUGUAUAAAGUCAGAAUCCGCUGGUUUAACUAGCCGGGUGUCAGUCUCGGUGGUGUAACGGUUGUUUGCAAGUUAGCUAACGUUAACUGACUGGAGCGUUUGUUGUUAACGUUACUUCUUCAGUUAGAGGCAGGAGCGAGGGCUCUAUGAAGUUGCCAGUUGUGUUUCCUGCAGAUGGUUGCACAGAUGAACAUGCACAGGUGGAGGCAGAUGCUCACUUAAACACUGCAGUCUGGGGGAUGCCUUUAUUGAUACAAAUCCGCCAUAACUCAAACCCUUGUGAAAAGCAAACUGGAGCAGAGUCUCGGGUUUGUAAUGAGGAGAAAUCACAAGUUGUAAUUAUAAGAGCCUGUUUUUAA